AGUGUCGACCCUGAGAUAGACAACCCUCAUUGAUCUCAAGGCUUGGUGAGAAAAUUAUACCACUUGAACGCGAGUGAGCGCUCAGAAAUGCACCGAAAUGAGUGGGCCAUUGUGGGCGAGCUUGGCUGAAGGGCGGAGGUAUGUUUGGGGGAGUGCGAAAGAAUCUACUCUCCUACUAUAAGCAGAUUACACCAUCUGCCCAAAGAAACUUAUUAUCGCUUCGUUAGAAAAAAAAAACAAAAGAAAGAAAGAAAGAAAAAAAAAUCCUUUCUAAUAUAUAACCUGACUCUGCGUCUGUUGUUUCAUUCGAUAUACUAUCCCCUAUGGGUCAUGACCUAUGUAUAGGCAAGAUCUAUGCAAACCCCGAAACGAAGCUCCAGACGUGGCCUAAUGCAUGUUUCGAGAACAUAUUGCAGGCGGAAGCCUCAUAAAUAAUCAACAUUCCAGAGUUAGAUAGCCCGCUCCUCUCCAUCGCUGUUUUUACCUUCAGUUUGUUCAACAUGCAGUGGAAUUGAGCAAUAUCGCAGUGCCGGUAUCAACGGAGUUUGGUGAGGGUGCAUCCACCGGUACGGAAUGAUCCAAAUAGAAAUACUACAAUAGUAAGUGACGUGUCUAUGGUUGGAGAUUGAAGAAAGGAGUCGCUUGUAGGGCG
rnacentral:sRNA from 1 species